CAGCAGCCGCGGGAAUACGAAGGGGGCGAGCGUUGCUCGGAAUGACUGGGCGUAAAGGGCGCGUAGGUGGUACGGACAGUCAGAUGUGAAAUUCCCGGGCUCAACCUGGGGGCUGCAUUUGAUACGUCCGAACUAGAGUGUGGAAGAGGGUCGUGGAAUUCCCAGUGUAGAGGUGAAAUUCGUAGAUAUUGGGAAGAACACCGGUGGCGAAGGCGGCGACCUAGUCCAUUACUGACGCUGAGGCGCGAAAGCGUGGGGAGUAAACAGGAUUAGAGACCCGCGUAGUCCCUGUCUCUUAUAA
rnacentral:rRNA from 1 species